rfam:Arabis alpina cultivar Pajares scaff_47773_1_contig_0, whole genome shotgun sequence.
GGUUUCGAUCAUACCAGCACAAAUGCACCGGAUCCCAUCAGAACUCUGCAGUUAAGUGUGCUUGGGUGAGAGUAGUACUAGGAUGGGUGAACUCUUGGGAAGUCCUCGUGUUUCAUCGC